ACGGGAGGCAGCAGUGGGGAAUAUUGCACAAUGGGGGAAACCCUGAUGCAGCGACGCCGCGUGAGUGAAGAAGUAUUUCGGUAUGUAAAGCUCUAUCAGCAGGGAAGAAAAUGACGGUACCUGACUAAGAAGCCCCGGCUAACUACGUGCCAGCAGCCGCGGUAAUACGUAGGGGGCAAGCGUUGUCCGGAUUUACUGGGUGUAAAGGGUGCGCAGGCGGGACUGCAAGUUGGAUGUGAAAUACCGGAGCUUAACUCCGGGGCUGCAUCCAAAACUGUGGUUCUUGAGUGGAGUAGAGGUAAGCGGAAUUCCGAGUGUAGCGGUGAAAUGCGUAGAUAUUCGGAGGAACACCAGUGGCGAGGGCGGCUUACUGGGCUCUAACUGACGCUGAGGCACGAAAGCAUGGGUAGCAAACAGGAUUAGAUACCCUGGUA
rnacentral:rRNA from 1 species